rnacentral:sRNA from 1 species
UUUAUUGACUGACAACUCAUGGCUAGGGUUAUUAACAAAAAUCAAAAACAGAGCAACAAAGGAAAGGGUCAGCGUUUGCUGACCCUUUCCU